GUGGGGAAUAUUGGACAAUGGGCGCAAGCCUGAUCCAGCAAUGCCGCGUGGGUGAAGAAGGUCUUCGGAUCGUAAAGCCCUUUCGACAGGGACGAUGAUGACGGUACCUGUAGAAGAAGCCCCGGCUAACUUCGUGCCAGCAGCCGCGGUAAUACGAAGGGGGCUAGCGUUACUCGGAAUUACUGGGCGUAAAGGGCGCGUAGGCGGCUCUGUUAGUCAGGCGUGAAAUUCCUGGGCGUAACCUGGGGACUGCGCUUGAUACUGCAGGGCUUGAGGCCGAGAGAGGGUGGUGGAAUUCCCAGUGUAGAGGUGAAAUUCGUAGAUAUUGGGAAGAACACCGGUGGCGAAGGCGACCACCUGGCUCGGUUCUGACGCUGAGGCGCGACAGCGUGGGGAGCAAACAGGAUUAGAUACCCCAGUAGUCC
rnacentral:rRNA from 1 species